GGCCUUGUAUUCAUGUUUCGUGAUUAUAGAAUGCAAUUCUAUAGGGGUGGGAGAAUAAUGCCUACCAAGGCCU
rnacentral:tRNA from 1 species